GCCGGGCUGUUUAGCAGCUGGUCUCACUGCUUAGGUUCCUAAAGCCUAGCUGUUACAGCGUCCUUGCUACAGAAAGAGAUCGUUGUCUGACCAGAGACAAAACUUACUUCUGUCUGGUAGCAGAGUACCUACAUUUGGCUUUCCAGAUCUCACCUCAGUUCCAGAUUCCUCUACAUUAAAAUCUUCGCCUGGGUUACAUCUUCUCUCAGGAUUGAAUAUCAACACUAUUGAAGACACCUCAUGUGACAUCACAAACAGCUUUCUUGGACUCUCCAGGGAGGUGGAGCAAGAUGGCUGAAUAGAAGCCUCCAGCAAUUGUCCCCCACUCACAGGAACACCAAAUUGAACAACUAUCCACACACAAAAAAAAGCACCUUCAUACAAAGAAAAAUCAGAUAUGUUCUGAGACAGCUGAUAACAGAAUGAAGGGGGAUUUUCUUAAAGCAUCCAUGACCCUAACAAGGAAACUGGAAGUUGCAUUCUAUUGAUCCAAGGCUAAGAAGGAAUUAAGUUGCCAUCAGAUCAAAUUCCGGCAAAGCGUCUGGAAGAGACCUGGUUGAAGAUAAUAUUGAUGAGUCUUAAAAAAAAAUGCCAGCAUUUCUACUCAUGUUUUAACAAAAAUUGGAGAGUCUAGAUUCACCCAUGAAAAGCUCUUCCUUCUCGGCUUCAAGACAUCCUAUAUAAAGGGGAAAGAAACAAACAAAAAGCUACUUCAAAGUUGAAGGGUCAGUUUCUGGUUUUGCUGUCUCAUCUGGAAAAAAGAAGUGACUUCUGCUAUUGUUUUAUAACUUAUUGAUAUAAAAUGUAUACAACUCAUAAAAUGUAGAAAUAGCUAGAAGUACCAGAUGAAUCUUGUUA
rnacentral:lncRNA from 1 species